ACUCUAACCAGGUCCUGAGAAGUCAGGACCUUCUGGGACAGAAGAAAGCUUUGGGACAAGACUCAGUGGAAGAGCAACAUCCUGGCACCCAGAGAAGAAGAGGCUCUGUUGUGCCUGCCUCAAGUUAGGAGAAGCCCAUGCAUAGUUGGUCCUUACAGUGGUCACUAAUGCAGAAACAGUGGCCCAAAUUGGAGACAGUAAUUGUUUAUCAAAUCAUAAACCACAUAGCCAUGAAAAGACUCCAGAAGAGUCAAGAGAAUCUUUAAGAAGAAAGCUGGAGGACUUACACCAUCAUACAAGAGAGACAGAGCAUGAACGGGGAAGGGGCAGAGAGAG